UCUCUCUUUGUUACGUAUGAGAGAUUGAAGAAUUGUUGAAGUUCUUGUUGAUUUAUUCGGUAUUGUUGAAGGUCCUGUGGAUCUUCGUGUUUUAGUUGCUCUCAUUCUUGUUCGCAUACCAUCAUUUUGUAUUGAAUGUUCAUACCAUUUUUACAUGCCUCUCUCGUUCUUGUUGGAGUUCAUUCAGUCUGCUGGAGAUUUAAUGAAGAUCUAUUGAAGAUUUGGUUCAUCUUUUGCUUCAUUUGUAUUGCUGAUCCUGUGGAUCCUCAUAUAUCAGGUUGUAUUGUUUCAUUUAAAGUUGUAUUGUGUUGAUUAAUCAACUGAUUGUUAUCAGUUGAUUACAUACUUUGUAUUGGUUGAUUUCAGAUCUUACAUUUUGUAAGAUCUUGGGAGGUUGGGAGUUUU
rnacentral:lncRNA from 1 species